UACGUAGGUGGCAAGCGUUGUCCGGAAUUAUUGGGCGUAAAGCGCGCGCAGGCGGCCUCUUAAGUCUGAUGUGAAAGCCCCCGGCUCAACCGGGGAGGGCCAUUGGAAACUGGGAGGCUUGAGUAUAGGAGAGAAGAGUGGAAUUCCAACGUGUAGCGGUGAAAUGCGUAGAGAUGUGGAGGAACACCAGUGGCGAAGGCGACUCUUUGGCCUAUAACUGACGCUGAGGCGCGAAAGCGUGGGGAGCAAACAGG
rnacentral:rRNA from 1 species